rfam:Anopheles funestus strain FTMOZ unplaced genomic scaffold supercont1.325, whole genome shotgun sequence.
UUGUUUUACUGAUGACAUAUAGUUCAGUUGAAUCAACUAUGAUAACUAAACUGCAUUUAGUCUUUCGCUCCUAACUGAUAAAACAA